rnacentral:ncRNA from 2 species
UAAUGUAAAAAGGGGAGCUUGCGGUAAAGCAGGCUGAGAGUAAGCUGUAUGCUUAGACCCGGAACCUGAUUUGGAUAAUGCCAACGUAGGGACAUAUUUGCGGAAAAUAU